GUGAGCAUAACGUAUUUAUGGACAGGACAGGAGCUGAGUGUAAACACACCGGCUAGGAAAACAACAUACUGGAGCACUAAACAGUAUGCCAGAACUAGUCACGCGAUGCAUGACUGUCCUCAUUAGUCACACUAUUUAGUGCGCUAGUAUGUGAGUUGGAAUGGAACCGGUGAAACUGGACCAGCAGGCAUCAGGUUAUGGAGAUUUGUGUUCUUCAUGUUUAUUGUUAGCUCUCAGCUCCUGGAACUCAAUAAGUUUAACAUAUUCUUAAGUCAGGUUUGGUGAGACAGAUCUCAGUUUUACCUGAGAUCAGUACAUAUUAACAAUAAUAAUCAAAAUUGUAUUUUGAUGUUCAUUAUGAAUACAAUACAGUGUGUGUUUUGUGCUUUUAUUUAACAGGGACAACAGCCAAUUUAUCAUUUCCCCAGCAUUAGUGAGUCAACAGAAUGAACAUUUUAUUUUGGUGCAGUGGAGUCUGAAGUUUUUGAUGAUCUACGAUGACAUGAUAACGCUAACUCCUGGGUCUGUUUCCAGCUGACAAGAGCAUGCAAUGAUUUAAGUUAUACUGUAGAACAUAAAACAGAAAAUAUAAGGGCUUGUACAAACACAUGACUAUGUGGCAGUUACCUCAUGUAAAGGUCAGUGUUUAACUGUUUUUUCCUUGUCUCAUACUGGAUGUAGAACCAUCUGUCGGGUUCGGGAUGUAGAAUGAAAUCACUGCCUCUUGCAGUGUGUUCUGACUCAGGUCUAUGGUAUGACAAGCAAAAGGAUGCAUUUACCUCCACAUCUGUUUCUGAAUGUACAGACAGUGUCUUCAUAUUAGGACAGUAUCUUCCCCCAACAGCAAAAUGUGGAAACCUAUUAAUUAUGAGAUAAACGAGGGCUUGUAUUUCUCAUACAAUGCUUGCUUUUAGUAUCUUCCUCUGUGUUGGGCUCCAUGCCUGUGAUGAUCAUGACUGUGAUGAUUACAGCAAGAUCAGAGAAUUUCAAAAGUCUGGGUGGCAGUGAGUCCAGAGCCUACCUUGGAACACUGAGGCAGCCCUGGAUGGGAUGUCAGUCCAAAGCGCACCACGCACACACACACACUUUUGUUCACACCUAGAGGCAAUGUAUCUUAGCUAAUCCACCUACUAGCAUGUUUUUGGAAGGUGGGAGGAAACUCAUGCAAACAUGGAGAGAACACGCAGAGAACCUCUAUGCAGACAAUAACUUGAGCUUAGGAUCAGACUGGAGCCUCUGGACCUACAAGGCUGUAACACUACCCACUGCACAACCAUGCCACCUCCUCUUCUACCCUUUUCAUUACCUUCAAUUAUUGCCCAGCUUCCUUAUUACUUGUCUGAACUGAUCAAUAAAUGUUUGAGAUUUUCAAAUUGCCUCACUGUUGGGUUAUGUUCUUAAAAACACUUUGUUUACAGUUUGCUUCAGUAGCAGUAGUAAUUCAGAAACUGUGUCCUUUCUACUAGCAUGGUGGUCUACCGGUCUGACCUGUGUUUAGGCAGCGGGUAGCUGGUCAGGGAAAGCCGGACUGUUCAGCAGGGACCAAAUACAGUAUGUCUUAAGUGAUCGACAAUAUUUGAGGGAAUUUAUUUUGGCUGAACUAUUCCUUUAAGCUGAAAAUAGUCUUCAUCCCUGUUAAAGCAGCUACUUCAAACAGGCUUCUCUUAAAGAAACAGAUCUUUACUAAUCUAGGUUUCUAGCUUGUAUAACCAGCCACCCACACACCACACACUAGAGGCACCCUAUCUGUGCACAGGUGUAUGUGAUCUAGGCCAUUCUGUACAUUGAUAAACUGGAUUUAGAAAGAUAUAAAAUAGAUUUUAGGAAAAUAUAACUCUUAUUCUUUAAAAGCAUGGAGCUAAUAUACUGUAAAGGAAAGUGAGCAUUAUGGCACCAUGCAAGUACUAAUCUUAUAUUGGAAUAUUUCAAGGUUCAAGGUUCAAGGUUCUUUAUUUGUGAAUGCCACCAUAUGUGCAUACAUACAGAGGAAUCGAAAUACUGUUUCUCUUCUCUCUUAUCAAGUGUUUACAGUCAAUGCAGUCAGUGCAAUAUAGAACAGAUUCUGUAUGAAGGUAACAGCAGUGUACUUGUAAUAAAUAGAUAUACAUAAACAGAGUGAAAAAUAUAUUGUAAACAUCUGAAUGAAUAUACAUCUGAGUAAAUGUAAACAGUGAAUUCUGUUAAAUAUACAAAUAUACUUCCAAAGGUGCAAAUAUACAUGCAGAUAAAUGUAAACGUUCAAUAUACCUCUGAGUAAAUGUACACAGUGAAGUCUGUUUAUAUACAAUAUACUCCCAAGGGUGCAAAUAUACAAGCAAUAUUUGCAAUCAAAACGCAAUUCGCUUUUGAAUCUAAUAAAGAAGAAGAAGGAGAGGAGGAUAAGUGACGCAUGUUGAGUAGUUCUGGGUAUAGAGUCCUAUUGUAAGAUACAGUACAGAAUAGCAGCAGUAUGACAGCAGUGCAAAAAGACUGUAAAGUGUAAAAGUGCAAACAUUGUCAGAUUUAAAUAGUUUGUACAUG